GCCCUGUUUUCAGCGUUUAAUUACAAAACGUGAAGUUGAUUUCUGAGUAGAAUUAAUUUACAAUUUCUCCCCUAGGGUUUCCAAGGGCCACGGCAAGUUGAAAAGAAAAUAUCAACAAUGGAAGAUGGAGAAAAACCAACAAUAUUGCCUUUAUCUAAGCAUUGUCAGGGUACUUUUCCAUCCAAGUUUUAUGUUACCUCUCCUUUAUUUUCUACGAUUUGCAAGAAGGAUGCAGAAAUAAAUCUAUCUGCAGACUUUCAUGAAGAUGUGUGUACGGAUAAUGAUGGAGAACACAUGUCUCUCUCGUCACUGCUUUCAGCUCCAUUUCUUGGCAGAUGUGAGGAGGCAGAGAGGCAAAACUCUGAUCGGUCCAUUGUGAAGCCAGAAUCUCCUUCAGUUACUGGGCACGCCAAAUCUGGUAGUCAGACAGCUGAUCACGGGGCAGUGUCAUGCAACAUCAGGAGCACAGCACAGAUAAUAGCUCUUUUGGAGUCUAAACCAACGCAAGGAUGCAGAGAUCAAACAUCGUCUGAGGUCACAGAAUGUCUUUUUAGGUUUCAGGCAUCAGAAAAUGCAGAUAGUUUAUACAGACAAAAACCCACAAUCCUACCUGCUUUUUCCGGCAACCCUGCCAAAGGACUCAUUCAAAAUAUUCAGCAUCUGCCUUUUACGAAGGGAACUGUAAAUGAUACAAAAGAAUGGAAUGCUGAAAUGCUUCUAAAUUCAGCUGAACAACCUUGUGAUAAAGAAGUCACAGGACAGAGACAUGACAAAAAGGCAUAUACUUUAAGUCAAGACUUAGAAGAUCCCUGCAAUACAAAUAGUUGCUUCCUACCUGAAUCUACCCUAAGUAGAAUGAGUGACAGUCAGUUUGUCCCAUCCUCAGGUGACGUUUCAUGUUCAGUAAGUCCAAUCACCUUCGAAAAAAAUCUCUCCAGAUACAGGGAGGAUUCAUCUGUGAAGUUGCAAAGUGAGCUUCAGCCAAGACAAAAUUCAGAAAGAAUACCAGGUGAGCAGGAGCUCUCUGUGGAUGUAACAUUGACUAAAAUUGGAUUUGUAAAGGAGGAAUUAAGUACGCAUGGCAAAGACUGUGGUCCAGAUGAACAGGUGAUGGAGGUUAACUUUAAUCUAAUGGAGGCUUUUGAUUUUAAUGACACAGACAAUGAAGACCUGUGUGAAAGAGAUGUGAAUAAGCUCACUGAAGGAGACAUGCUUUCACAAAGUCCACAUUGCUUAAAGGGAGAAGAUGUAGCACAAAAUGCUGCAUUGAGACUUCAUUCUUGCUGUGAAGUAGUGACGCACAGUAAAAACGAAGAAGUCAAAUGUUCAACAUUUGAUGGAGAGAAUGGUGGAAAUCACUGCACUGAGGGUAUACCAUCUCAGCUUUGUGACAACGAUGUUGGAGAUAUAGGGAGAACUGCAGAAGACUCCGCAAAGCAGACCAGAAUUGAAGUGGAACUUUUGGGAAAUGGACACAAUAUAAGAGAGAUUAAUGACAGUCAAUUAAGUAUUGAAGCCACAAACAAUAAGAAGGAUAUUGAUGGCUGUGCAGCGCAUACCAUUGAUGGCACGUCAUGGAUAAAGAGCAAGCACUCUGAUCUUUUGCCUGGUGACACAAAUGUUAAUGAAUGUCCCCCUAAAACUAGUAUGUUUGAGAAAACUGAAGGUAUUUCAUGUAUUUCCACCAGCGGAAUAAUCUCUGCAAUGGUCAAAAGGACUGAAGAAGAUGUUGUACAGCUUGGAUGCAUGAAAUCCCCAGAUGUUGAUUUAGAACACUUCUGGGGUACUAGGAGUGAUGACAUUAAACCAGAUAGUCCUUUGCUGGCCUUGUCACAAAAAUCAGAGCCUAGCUAUGGCUCAUUCCAGUAUACCACAGAAGGCCAUCAAAAGGUACUUGGCAUUUCACAUAAGGAAGAUACUCUCAUUUCCAGAAAUUCUGUCUAUCCUUUAAGAAAAGGCCAUUCACCUCUAGAGGAAACGGCAAUAGGUGAAACCGAGUUUGAAAAUGCAGAGAGCAUAAAUGCCUUUCAUGAAGCCUGCAAAGGGGA
rnacentral:lncRNA from 1 species